rnacentral:tRNA from 3 species
GCGGAUAUGGUCGAAUGGUAAAAUUUCUCUUUGCCAAGGAG